UCUCAUGGCAACAGAAUGAGGCUGUUCGAUAUUUCCCAAUAGUUGAAGUCUGAUUAUAUUGCAUCAGUGCACACAGAGAAUGUCGUCACUAUGGGGCUCACCUGUCAUCAUGUAGAACAGGAGAUCGCUUCUGUGACCUCUACUGAUCCCUCUCCAAAUCACGACGGAGUCCCUCACGUCCAUGGUGGUUAUGGCAUUACUGGCAGAUUUCGGAUUUGUAGUGUUGUAGUUCCAUUUAUGGAACCAUGUUUCCACAUGAUCACCAAACGGAUGUGUGAAAAUAUUUUUAUUUACAAUGUGAUACAUUUAACGUUAAAUAUUCAACAAAGAUGAGAUCUAAAUAGACACAAUACAAAAAUAAACAAAUACAAAUAGAGGCUUAUACUAAUGAUUUGACGUUCACUUGAUUGUUAAGCAGGUGUUUUCUUCUCUAAAAGUGCAUGUAUCAAUGAUACUGAUCUUGCAAACACAAAAUAAUGAAAAGUUGAGAAAAUU